GACGAACGCUGGCGGCGUGCUUAACACAUGCAAGUCGAGCGGUAAGGCCCUUUCGGGGGUACACGAGCGGCGAACGGGUGAGUAACACGUGGGUGACCUGCCCUUAGCUCUGGGAUAAGCCUGGGAAACUGGGUCUAAUACCGGAUAUGACUCCAUGACGCAUGUUGUGGGUGAAAGCCUUGUGCGGCUAGGGAUGGGCCUGCGGCCUAUCAGCUUGUUGGUGGGGUGAUGGCCUACCAAGGCGACGACGGGUAGCCGGCCUGAGAGGGCGACCGGCCACACUGGGACUGAGACACGGCCCAGACUCCUACGGGAGGCAGCAGUGGGGAAUCUUGCGCAAUGGGCGAAAGCCUGACGCAGCGACGCCGCGUGGGGA
rnacentral:rRNA from 1 species